CAGCUUCCUCAUCCUACACGUGGAUACCCUUCACUGCCUGUUUGAUACUUUCCAGCAGAGCCUUGCAGUCCGGGGAAUACUCCCGUUCCAGAUUGCUGUACAUAUCUAUUGCUCUCCAUAGAUGUUAUCUGAAACCAUGAAGCAAAGCAACGUGUGGUGGUGUGAACAGCAGAACAACGCCAAGGGCUGAAGAGUUCUCAAAAUGCUCCCAAAAAUGCCAUAGGACAACCCGAAGCAGUGCGAUGAGAAGUGUAUUUACCUGAUAUGUGACCUUGGCCAUCACAGCCUAGCACCGGACAUCUACAG